UCUUCAUUUCCCACACUCUCUCGACGGACAGAGAAGCGAGAGAGCGUGUGAAAUGAAGAGA
rfam:Pristionchus pacificus strain PS312 contig7249, whole genome shotgun sequence.